CCUACGGGAGGCAGCAGUGAGGAAUAUUGGUCAAUGGGCGCUAGCCUGAACCAGCCAAGUAGCGUGAAGGAUGAAUGCCCUAUGGGUUGUAAACUUCUUUUAUAUGGGAAUAAAGUGCAGUAUGUAUACUGCGUUGCAUGUACCUUAUGAAUAAGGAUCGGCUAACUCCGUGCCAGCAGCCGCGGUAAUACGGAGGAUCCGAGCGUUAUCCGGAUUUAUUGGGUUUAAAGGGAGCGUAGGCGGGUUGUUAAGUCAGUUGUGAAAGUUUGGGGCUCAACCGUAAAAUUGCAGUUGAUACUGGCAGCCUUGAGUACAGUAGAGGUAGGCGGAAUUCGUGGUGUAGCGGUGAAAUGCUUAGAUAUCACGAAGAACUCCGAUUGCGAAGGCAGCCUGCUGGACUGUAACUGACGCUGAUGCUCGAAAGUGUGGGUAUCAAACAGGAUUAGAUACCCCUGUAGUC
rnacentral:rRNA from 1 species